GAUGAACGCUGGCGGCGUGCCUAACACAUGCAAGUCGAACGGAAGGACGAGAAGCUUGUGUCUCUGAUGUUUGCGGCGGGCGGGUGUGUAACACGUGGAUAACCCACCUAUAAGACUGGGAAAAUUUCGGGAAACCGGCGCUAAUACCGGAGGAUAUUUUGAACCGCAUGGGGCGAAAGAGAAAGACGGUCUUUCUGGCACUUAUAGAUGGAUCCGCGCUGGAUUAGGUAGUUGGUAAGGUAACGGCUUACCAAGGCAACGAUGCAUAGCCGACCUGAGAGGGUGAUAGGCCACACUGGAACUGAGACACGGUCCAGACUCCUACGGGAGGCAGCAGUAGGGAAUCUUCCGCAAUGGGCGAAAGCCUGACGGAGCAACGCCGCGUGAGUGAUGAAGGUCUUCGGAUCGUAAAACUCUGUUAUUAGGGAAGAACAUAUGUGUAAGUAACUGUGCACAUCUUGACGGUACCUAAUCAGAAAGCCACGGCUAACUACGUG
rnacentral:rRNA from 1 species